rnacentral:lncRNA from 1 species
CUGCUAGUUUGAUGUAGUUUCUGCGGACUGCGGUAUAUGCUCUAGUAUUAACAGUAGAAUAGAAGGGUUUUUGUUAACUAGGGAACCUUGUCUUUCAUGUCGUGUCAGUUCAUUUGUUCAUUUGACGCAGUAUACUUCAAUACAUGCUGAUGGCACGUGAUGACGUAAAACGCUCUUUGCACAAUGGUUACCUAAAGUGACAUCUCUAGCUUGCUGUGUUCCGUAUUGUAAGCAUAAGGUCAAAUUCGAAUAGGUUUAUUUCUGGUUCAUACCUAGUUCUAGUCGGUUUAGGAGUUGUACAGGGGAAUCAACGAGUUGGUCUCCUAGUCGUAUUCAGUUAGGCUGUUAGAUGUUGAGUCGGACUGGCCUCUGGCCGUGUAUAAGUACGGGCAUACGGUGCCUUGUUAUCCUAAUCCCAGAAAAUAAAAAAAGAGAAAAAACAGGCACGAUACGUGCCUGUGGCCAUCAAUUGAUCUUCGUGUGUGGCUUGGCGUGAGUGCUGGUUUGAUUGAUUUUGCUAGCUAGCUUGUACGUGCGCGUCUCGCCGGAAAUCAAUUAGCUUGCUGUUGUUGCUUGCGUGUGAGAAGUUUAGGCCUGAGUUCCAACACAUAUGUAUAUGCCUCC